rnacentral:rRNA from 1 species
GAUGAACGCUAGCUACAGGCUUAACACAUGCAAGUCGAGGGGAAACGGCAUUGAGUGCUUGCACUCUUUGGACGUCGACCGGCGCACGGGUGAGUAACGCGUAUCCAACCUUCCCAUUACUGUGGAAUAACCUGCCGAAAGGCAGACUAAUACCGCAUAGUCUUCGAUGACGGCAUCAGAUUUGAAGUAAAGAUUUAUCGGUAAUGGAUGGGGAUGCGUCUGAUUAGCUUGUUGGCGGGGUAACGGCCCACCAAGGCGACGAUCAGUAGGGGUUCUGAGAGGAAGGUCCCCCACAUUGGAACUGAGACACGGUCCAAACUCCUACGGGAGGCAGCAGUGAGGAAUAUUGGUCAAUGGACGGAAGUCUGAACCAGCCAAGUAGCGUGCAGGAUGACGGCCCUAUGGGUUGUAAACUGCUUUUGUAUGGGGAUAAAGUUAGGGACGUGUCCCUAUUUGCAGGUACCAUACGAAUAAGGACCGGCUAAUUCCGUGCCAGCAGCCGCGGUAAUACGGAAGGUCCAGGCGUUAUCCGGAUUUAUUGGGUUUAAAGGGAGCGUAGGCUGGAUAUUAAGUGUGUUGUGAAAUGUAGACGCUCAACGUCUGACUUGCAGCGCAUACUGGUUUCCUUGAGUACGCACAACGUUGGCGGAAUUCGUCGUGUAGCGGUGAAAUGCUUAGAUAUGACGAAGAACUCCGAUUGCGAAGGCAGCUGACGGGAGCGCAACUGACGCUAAAGCUCGAAGUGCGGGUAUCAAACAAG